rnacentral:rRNA from 1 species
UACGUAGGGGGCAAGCGUUGUCCGGAAUUACUGGGCGUAAAGGGAGCGCAGGCGGUCUUUUAAGUAGGAUGUGAAAUACCCGGGCUUAACCUGGGGGGUGCAUCCUAAACUGGGGGACUUGAGUGUGGGAGAGGAAAGUGGAAUUCCUAGUGUAGCGGUGAAAUGCGUAGAUAUUAGGAGGAACACCAGUGGCGAAGGCGGCUUUCUGGACCAUAACUGACGCUGAGGCUCGAAAGCGUGGGGAGCAAACAGGAUUAGAUACC